rnacentral:lncRNA from 1 species
UUUUUUUUCCCCUCUCUUCUGCUCUCUGUCUUGCCUUUAACCGCUACCAGCUCAGCUUGGUUUAAACACUUUUCCUGGCCAAUGCAGGACUGAGUGCCCAUCCAACUUACCCGGGGACUUAAAUGUGGGCUUCUGCAUCCGACAAAUAUGGUUGUGUCUGUGGCUCCCAAGGUCUGAGCCCAGUCUCUCUGCCAUGGGCUGUGCUGGGACAAGUGCCUGCCUCCACCUUGGCCCCGCUGGCGUCUCACUUCUCCAGUGCCCAGCCCUGCACAGGGGCUGACUUCAAAGUCCCCAAAGGCAUGUGCUAUCUUUUGGGGGUUGCUUGUCUGCGGGGUAGUGUCUCGCUCCCAGUGACCAGCAGAGGAAAAAUCAUUGGAUUCACUAGGUAAGAUGCUUUCUUCUUCCUAUGCUUUAAUCUCUACUUACUGAUAAAGCAAUCGCGUGUCUGGGGCUGAUGAGUUCUCUCACUCUGGUGAAUGGAGCAGCCCUUCCCGGUGGUUUGUAAAUCAGUAGCUGGCCAUUCGAUUCUUGGCUUUCUGAAAACAAAUUGGCUUUUUGUUUCCAAAUUGUAGGAUGGAGGCAAUUGGGAAUUGAUACAUAUUUAACUUUCUCCCACAUGGCUUUGUCUGAAAUGAAACCUGUGUGCGUAUACAGCAAAGGCUUUCCUCUAAACCACAUUUUGGUCUUUUUUAAAUGCUAGAAGUUUAUGAUUUAGAAUGAAACACCUACUUUUUAGGUGGAGUGGGAGGCUGGCUUUUACUCUGUGCCGUUUAGGUUUCAAAGAGCCCCUGCCAGGGCAGCCACUGGACCUCUGCUGCUUUGUGUCCAGCGAAUGAUGCAGUUCCCCUUCCCAGGACCCAAAAUCCAUCACCUGCCGAGGGCUCAGCCCAGCAUUACCGGCGAGGAUCGGGAGCUGGGCUGUGUGUCUGUCUGCACAUGGGCUGGGCAGGAGGAAAGUCUGCUGGUUUGAACUGAGCCGUAACUCACUCUCAGGAUGUAAAUUGUAAAUCAGCGUUAUUUUUCCUCCUGUGACCAUAUAAAUGCGC